UGCGUAGACGGUAUGUUAAGUUCGUUGUUAAAGGCUCCGGCCUAACUGGAGUAUUGCAAUGAAAACUGGCAAGCUAGAGGGUGAGAGAGAGAAGUGGAAUUCCCGGAAUAGCGGUAAAAUGCGUGGAUCUCGGGAGGAACACCAAUGGCGAAGGCAGCUUCUUGGCUCAUACCUGACGUUGAGGCACGAAAGCGUGGGGAGCAAACA
rnacentral:rRNA from 1 species